rnacentral:rRNA from 1 species
GACGAACGCUGGCGGCGUGCCUAAUACAUGCAAGUAGAACGCUGAAGGAGGAGCUUGCUUCUCUGGAUGAGUUGCGAACGGGUGAGUAACACGUAGAUAACCUGCCUGGAAGCGGAGGAUAACUAUUGGAAACGAUAGCUAAUACCGCAUAAUAGCAGUUGUUGCAUGACAACUGUUUGAAAGGGGCAAUUGUGCCACUACCAGAUGGACCUGCGUUGUAUUAGCUAGUUGGUGGGGAAACGGCUCACCAAGGAGACGAUACAUAGCCGACCCGAGAGGGGGGACGGCCACCCUGGGACUGGGGCACGGCCCCGGCCCCUUCCGGGGGCAGCCGGAGGGGAUCUUUGGCAAAUGGCGGAAGGCUUACCGAGGCACGCCGCGGGAGUGAAGAAGGGUUUCGGGUCGGAAAGCUCUGUUGUUAGGGAAGAACGAGUGUGAGAGUGGAAAGUUCACACUGUGACGGUAUCUUAUCAGAAAGCGACGGCUAACUACGUG